GAUGAACGCUGGCGGCGUGCCUAAUACAUGCAAGUCGAGCGAACGGACGAGAAGCUUGCUUCUCUGAUGUUAGCGGCGGACGGGUGAGUAAUACGUGGAUAACCUACCUAUAAGACUGGGAUAACUUCGGGAAACCGGAGCUAAUACCGGACGAUAUUUUGAACCGCAUGGUUCAAAAGUGAAAGACGGUCUUGCUGACACUUAUAGAUGGAACCGCGCUGCAUUAGCUAGUUGGUAAGGUAACGGCUUACCAAGGCAACGAUGCAUAGCCGACCUGAGAGGGUGAUCGGCCACACUGGAACUGAGACACGGUCCAGACUCCUACGGGAGGCAGCAGUAGGGAAUCUUCCGCAAUGGGCGAAAGCCUGACGGAGCCACGCCGCGUGGGUGAUGAAGGUCUUCGGAUCGUAAAACUCUGUUAUUAGGGAAGAACAUAUAUGUAAGUAACUGUGCACAUCUUGACGGUACCUAAUCAGAAAGCCACGGCUAACUACGUG
rnacentral:rRNA from 1 species